UACUAUAGCUUGACACUGAACAUUGAGCCUUGAUGUGUAGGAUAGGUGGGAGGCUUUGAAGUGUGGACGCCAGUCUGCAUGGAGCCGACCUUGAAAUACCACCCUUUAAUGUUUGAUGUUCUAACGUUGGCCCGUAAUCCGGGUUGCGGACAGUGUCUGGUGGGUAGUUUGACUGGGGCGGUCUCCUCCUAAAGAGUAACGGAGGAGCACGAAGGUUGGCUAAUCCUGGUCGGACAUCAGGAGGUUAGUGCAAUGGCAUAAGCCAGC
rnacentral:rRNA from 1 species